UGCUUGCAUCAUGAUUUACAUUUGAGUGAGUGGCGAACUGGUGAGUAACACGUGGGAAACCUGCCCAGAAGCGGGGGAUAACACCUGGAAACAGAUGCUAAUACCGCAUAACAACUUGGACCGCAUGGUCCGAGUUUGAAAGAUGGCUUCGGCUAUCACUUUUGGUCCCGCGGCGUAUUAGCUAGAUGGUGGGGUAACGGCUCACCAUGGCAAUGAUACGUAGCCGACCUGAGAGGGUAAUCGGCCACAUUGGGACUGAGACACGGCCCAAACUCCUACGGGAGGCAGCAGUAGGGAAUCUUCCACAAUGGACGAAAGUCUGAUGGAGCAACGCCGCGUGAGUGAAGAAGGGUUUCGGCUCGUAAAACUCUGUUGUUAAAGAAGAACAUAUCUGAGAGUAACUGUUCAGGUAUUGACGGUAUUUAACCAGAAAGCCACGGCUAACUACGUGCCAGCAGCCGCGGUAAUACGUAGGUGGCAAGCGUUGUCCGGAUUUAUUGGGCGUAAAGCGAGCGCAGGCGGUUUUUUAAGUCUGAUGUGAAAGCCUUCGGCUCAACCGAAGAAGUGCAUCGGAAACUGGGAAACUUGAGUGCAGAAGAGGACAGUGGAACUCCAUGUGUAGCGGUGAAAUGCGUAGAUAUAUGGAAGAACACCAGUGGCGAAGGCGGCUGUCUGGUCUGUAACUGACGCUGAGGCUCGAAAGUAUGGGUAGCAAACAGGAUUAGAUACCCUGGUAGUCCAUACCGUAAACGAUGAAUGCUAAGUGUUGGAGGGUUUCCGCCCUUCAGUGCUGCAGCUAACGCAUUAAGCAUUCCGCCUGGGGAGUACGGCCGCAAGGCUGAAACUCAAAGGAAUUGACGGGGGCCCGCACAAGCGGUGGAGCAUGUGGUUUAAUUCGAAGCUACGCGAAGAACCUUACCAGGUCUUGACUACUAUGCAAAUCUAAGAGAUUAGACGUUCCCUUCGGGGACAUGGAUACAGGUGGUGCAUGGUUGUCGUCAGCUCGUGUCGUGAGAUGUUGGGUUAAGUCCCGCAACGAGCGCACCCUUAUUAUCAGUUGCAGCAUUAAGUUGGGCACUCUGGU
rnacentral:rRNA from 1 species